rnacentral:rRNA from 1 species
AUCCAGACUCCUACGGGAGGCAGCAGUGGGGAAUAUUGCACGAUGGGGGGAACCCUGAUGCAGCGACGCCGCGUGGGUGAAGGAGUAUUUCGGUAUGUAAAGCCCUAUCAGCAGGGAAGAACAAUGACGGUACCUGACUAAGAAGCACCGGCUAAAUACGUGCCAGCAGCCGCGGUAAUACGUAGGGGGCAAGCGUUAUCCGGAUUUACUGGGUGUAAAGGGGGCGCAGACGGCAGCGCAAGCCAGGAGUGAAAGCCCGGGGCCCAACCCCGGGACUGCUCUUGGAACUGCGCGGCUGGAGUGCAGGAGGGGCAGGCGGAAUUCCUGGUGUAGCGGUGAAAUACGUAGAUAUCAGGAGGAACACCGGUGGCGAAGGCGGCCUGCUGGACUGCGACUGACGGUGAGGCCCGAAAGCGUGGGGAGCAAACAGGAUUAGAGACCCUA